UACGUAGGGGGCUAGCGUUGUCCGGAUUUAUUGGGCGUAAAGAGCUCGUAGGCGGUUCGGCAAGUCACGUGUGAAAUCUCCACGCUUAACGUGGAGGCGCCACGUGAAACUGCCGUGACUCGAGUCCGGUAGGGGAGUGUGGAAUUCCCGGUGUAGCGGUGAAAUGCGCAGAUAUCGGGAGGAACACCAGUAGCGAAGGCGGCACUCUGGGCCGGUACUGACGCUGAGGAGCGAAAGCGUGGGGAGCGAACAGG
rnacentral:rRNA from 1 species